rnacentral:rRNA from 1 species
AUUGAACGCUGGCGGCAUGCCUUACACAUGCAAGUCGAACGGUAACAGGUCUUCGGAUGCUGACGAGUGGCGAACGGGUGAGUAAUACAUCGGAACGUGCCUAGUAGUGGGGGAUAACUACUCGAAAGAGUGGCUAAUACCGCAUGAGAUCUACGGACGAAAGCAGGGGAGCGCAAGACCUUGAGCUACUAGAGCGGCCGAGGGCAGAUUAGGUAGUUGGUGGGAUAAAAGCUUACCAAGCCGACGAUCUGUAGCUGGUCUGAGAGGAAGAUCAGCCACACUGGGACUGAGACACGGCCCAGACUCCUACGGGAGGCAGCAGUGGGGAAUUUUGGACAAUGGGCGAAAGCCUGAUCCAGCAAUGCCGCGUGCAGGAUGAAGGCCUUCGGGUUGUAAACUGCUUUUGUACGGAACGAAAAGCCCCGGGUUAAUACCCUGGGGUCAUGACGGUACCGUAAGAAUAAGCACCGGCUAACUACGUGCCAGCAGCCGCCGUAA